UAAGUGUUUUGCCUGUGUGUGUAUAUAUCCGUGUAUCACAUGUGCACAGUGCCCAGAAGAGGGCGUCAGAUACCUUAGAACUGGAGUUACUGUUGCGAGUCGCCAUGUGGGUAAUGGGAAUUGAAACCGGGCCCUCUGGAAGAGCAGCCCAAUACCAUUAACUGCUGAGCUAUCUCUCUAGCCCCAUAGAUAUUUGUGUGCGUGUGCGUGUGCGUGUGCGUGUGUCUGCCAGGCGAGGAUACUAAGAACCUAGAAGAGGGCCCUCACGAAAAUGACCGCGCUGGCAUCCGAAUAUAUCGACUUCCAGCACCUAGAACUGUUCUGAUUCUGCAAAACGGACGUUCUUAGAAACUUGAACCAAAGAGGUCACUGACCUAGAAGCAGCCCCAGAACCCGGCCUUAAAGCUAACAAAAGGUGCCGCUUCAAAGGACUGGAGUUUGAGUGUGUGGUGGACAGGACAGGUUCAGCUGUGCUCAACCAGCCCCCAGGGUUGGCCUGCUCUCUCUAUUCACUACGUCUUUGGAGGAGCGACCUCUGCCAACCGGACCAACCCAGAAAAGAGGGGUACGUAUUCCCCUUUCUUGGGGAACGUUUCAACCAGCUUUUGGGAGGGAAUUCGAGACAGGGUGUCUUGUCACUCAGCAACCCAGGCUGGCCUAGAACUGGUAGUGAGUGACCUCACCAGGCUGACAACAGUAUGCAGUAUGAGAUCAAGGUGUCGCCCCGCUCCCCGCACAUGCACCUCAUUCCAAGUGUUCUACCAACGGGAACCACCCCCUACCCUCGUCGUGGUUUAGAUAUUUGUUUGUGUAUGACACGUGUGUGCAGAGCCCUGAGGAAUGGUGGCAGUCAUCUGACCUGGGGACCUCAGAAAGAGCAGAGGUGCAGGAUUAGAAAGUUGAUCAGAAAGGCAUUGCACAGAUGAACCCUACGUACACUAUCUAUCAGCCGAGGAUGAAACGGAAAAGCCCUCAUCCCUGCUGGCCCGCCUGCUGGUCCUCCGGUGAAGUCGGCCAAAGAGUCCUCUCUAUCUCCCCUCUCUCUCUGUGGCUGCCCUACCCGACUGCAGGGGCCCACUGUGCACAGUGGGUGGGCAAUGCCGGUGCUGGUGCUUUGGAGCAAGGAGCUGUUGGCAGGCGAGGUUCUUGACUCUAGCAGAAAGUGGUUCUAGAAGCCCAGGAGACGAAAACCGAAAGGGAAACCGAAAGGGAAGCCUGCAGGCUGGAGACCCAGGGGUUCCGACUCCUGAGAGAGAACAGAUGGCCAGUUGAAAACGCGGCCUAGGGAAGAGGAGUGCCAAAACCGAUUGAUGAGAGAGGCGUGCAGACCAACAGAGUCUCCGGCCUACUCCCGUAGUAUACGUAUCAUUCACCGCUGAAUGCGUAGUGAAAGCCCUCCCACCAAAACUCCUAACAGGGGCCACCGAACUGGUCUUGACUUUAGAAACCACAAUGAAAUCAGGGGAGAGCGCGAACGCAGUCCCCCACUACCACAAAUUAUGCAGUCGAGUUUCCCGCAUUUGGGGAAAUCGCAGGGGUCAGCACAUCCGGAGUGCAAUGGAUAAGCCUCGCCCUGGGAAAACCACCUUCGUGAUCAUGGUAUCUCCCCUGCCAGGUAAGUAUGAGUUGCUCGCCCAGCCAGCACGCCCUCCACCCACACGCACUCCUAUUAAACGCACGGUUCCCGCCUCCGCGCCACGGCCUCGGUCUCACGCCCCCCCACUCCUCUGCCGAGAUGCUUCCGCCUCACGGAAAUCACACGCCUGUCACGCGGUACACUCCACCCGAGACACGGCCCUUAAGGCUCUGCCGGACCGGCAGCCACUGCGCACGGCUUCAUCUGCGUACGCCCCGCCCACAGGCGGGUUUUUUUUUUUUCCUUUUUCUUUUUUUUUUCUUUCCCCCCCCUUUUUUCUUCCCCUGGCCUGCAGGAGACCGCGACGGUCACACAGUGGCCUGGAGCACACUAUGUAUGUAUGUAUGUAUGUAUGUAUGUAUGUAUGUAUGUAUGUAUGUAUGUAUGUGACGAACUAAGGUCUCUUUAUGGCCUGGGAUGACCCUCGGGGCUUUGCGCAUGCCACGGCAAGUAAGUCUUCCUACCCUGUGGAGCUACACUCUCAGCCCUAUGAGCUACACCGUUAACUCGCUACCAGUUCUCAAGCAGAAAACAUUGCCACACCGACUGUGGAAGCCCACACCUGUCUCCUAACGCUUGCGAACCAGACGCAAGAGAACGGACCACCAGCCCAGGGAUGGCUC
rnacentral:sRNA from 1 species